rnacentral:rRNA from 1 species
CCCUUAGAUGUCCGGGGCCGCACGCGCGCUACACUGAAGGAAUCAGCGUGCUAGAAAACCUUGUUUGACAUGGCUAGGUAACCCGUUGAAAAUCUUUCGUGAUUGGGAUCGGGACUUGCAAAUGUGUCCCUUGAACGAGGAAUUCCCAGUAAGUGCGGGUCAUAAGCUCGCGCUGAUUACGUCCCUGCCCUUUGUACACACCGCCCGUCGCUGCCCGGAACUGAGCCGUUUCGAGAAGACUGGGGACUGCGAACUUUGGGCUGGAAAACAGCUUUUUGUUUGUGGAAACCACUUUAAUCGCAGCGGCUUGAACCGGGCAAAAGUCGUAACA